UUAAUUUCAUUCAGAUUUUAGAAUGGUUUCAUACAAAAUUUGCAAGGUUAAGUUUGGUUUGGAUGCCGCCGGCAGGCUUAUAGGUCGGUUGCCCGAGCCAGCUGCCGAAGCAGAAAUUUUCCGAUUCACAUCAGGUUUGGACUCUGGCCCGGCUUGCACCGGGCGCAAAGUUGUCAAAGGACAUUUGUUAAUGAUCCUUCCGCAGGUUCACCUACGGAAA
rnacentral:misc_RNA from 1 species